GGGGAAUAUUGCGCAAUGGGCGAAAGCCUGACGCAGCGACGCCGCGUGAGGGAUGAAGGCCUUCGGGUUGUAAACCUCUUUCAGCCCUGACGAAGCGCGAGUGACGGUAGGGGCAGAAGAAGCGCCGGCUAACUACGUGCCAGCAGCCGCGGUAAGACGUAGGGCGCAAGCGUUGUCCGGAUUUAUUGGGCGUAAAGAGCUCGUAGGCGGUCUGUCGCGUCGGUUGUUAAAUCCCGGGGCUUAACUCCGGGUUGCUGCCGAUACGGGCAGACUUGAGGCAGGUAGGGGAGAGUGGAAUUCCUGGUGUAGCGGUGAAAUGCGCAGAUAUCAGGAGGAACACCGGUGGCGAAGGCGGCUCUCUGGGCCUGUCCUGACGCUGAGGAGCGAAAGCGUGGGGAGCGAAC
rnacentral:rRNA from 1 species